UGUAGGACACGUAACGGAGCCCAC
rnacentral:piRNA from 1 species